AAGCACUCUGAGGUGAUCGGAACAAAAUGCACCGCAAAAAGACAAGACGCAGGCAAAUGAAGCCAAAUUUUUGUCUGUAAAAAGAGAGUGCGUAAAACGGUCGUGGUGGCAACCGAAAAUGCAACACGAAAAGCGCACCUCGCGACGCGUCAUUUGGGGAGAAAUUUCAACAUGGCGGCAAAAAGCCGCUGAUGAGCCAAGCCAUCAUUAUCAUUACUCUGGUUUAGACUAAUUUUUCUCACAUUUUAUCCGAAACCACUUCCUACCUGAAAUAACCGUUAAAAUUGUACUACCUGACUGGCUAAAUAACUCGAUUUUCAGCCACAGCAAUUAAAAAAAAACGCUCGGGUACUUACCUCAUCUCCGUUCUGGUGAUCGCCAUUUUGUUGGUGCUCCUUUUCACUCAUGAUUACGGGUUGUCGGCUUUUGGGGAAAACUGGAAAAAUUCUGCCAAAUCGAACGAAAUCGACACUUCACCUGCUAUAUUUACGAUCCGGAGAAUCUCAACUACUGAAUUUCACCGGGUUUGAAGCACAAACAGCGAUAAAACGCAGAUUUUUAUGCGGUUGGAAAAAUACUUUUCACUUUUUCACUGGUCCCGAGAAAACACACGCGUCAAAAAUCACAAGCGUUGUCGAUCCACACCGAACGGAAGUCAAACCCGAAGUCUAUUUUAACGCGAGCUGAUUGCACACUGAAACUAAUGUUGGAGUAAAUACAACCGCUGCAUAGUUCUUAAAAUUACUAUUCAGGAUUAUGUUAAAAUUUAACGUGUUUGUCUUUACAAAUACUGCAAUAUUGUUAAAAUUACUAUGCCAUCAAUCGAUAAAUUUUACUAUCAUGAGAAGUCAAGAGCACUGUUGCCCUGCAUUGAAGAUAAAUACAAAAUCGGUAAUUUUUAAUGAACAAUGUUGUCAUUUUUACUAUGUGCAUGGUAAUUUUAACAACAAAACGUAGUAAUAAUGACCCCACCAACUUGGAUGUUUUUCUCCGUCAACUUGUAAAGGAUUAACAUCAGCGCGAAUAUAAAAGACUUUUGUUUUGUGUUUUGGACGUAAUAUUAAGCAAUGUUUUUAUAGUAACUAUUCUACCCAUGCUGCUAUUAAUCCAGAAUUUCCAGAAUUGAUUGCAUCGUGCAAUUUCCAGACCCAAAUAAGUGAUCCAAAAUAUAAUUUAAGACUACUUCAUUCUACUUUUAUUGAAAAUUUGAGCGAUGGUGAGCAGAUUCUGCAUGUGCCGCCAUGUUCCAUCAGAGAUCAAUGAAGGCAAAUACGGACAUAAAGUCCUCUGCAUGACUCCACUACGAUCGCCGUUUUUGAAAUCCAAAAAUCCUGUUUUUAAUGGACUAGAAAACACAAUACAUUAUCAGAGAAUUUAUUCUUCAAUAAAUAAUUACGAUUGAUGGAAUUGGAUAGUAGUUUUUUUGAUGGGUUGGAAUAAA
rnacentral:lncRNA from 1 species